rnacentral:tRNA from 1 species
GGCCUUGAGGUGUAAUACAUAUAGGAUUGCAAACCCUAAGAAGUAGGCUUAUAUUCCUACCGGGGCCU